UGCUCAGCCGGCCGGAGGUCUGCAUGUUUUUUGGGCCUGUGGGGGAUGUCCUCUGUGGAACUGCCCAGAGAAAGAGUCAGGACCCAGACAAAGCCUUGUUUCUAGAGACUCAUCUUUUGAGGACUUAGGACUGUUGGGCCUUUGGAAUGGGGUAAGGUGUGAUCAGCUUGGCAACUCCUGCUCCUGGCCGGCCAGUGGGCAGGGGGCAAGAAGGGGCUGUGGUGCUGGCACCAGGCUCUUGGCCUGGAAGCACCUGGACGGAGAAACCAAGCCACCUUGCUGCCCCAUCAUCCUGAGGCAAACAAGUUAGCUCAUCCUACAAAACAAGGUGCCUUCAGCCUCAUACCGCCAGCUGCCACCAUGGCUGGUGCUGGUGGCUCUUCUCUUAGAGCAAUUUUUGGAGCUCUCUCACCCACUACUUUCACUCCCCCGGUCUAAGUGGCCAGCAGGCGGCGUCAUCUGAACUCCGUGAUAACAGUCUCCUCCAGGCUGGCAGGGCCGGGCCGUGGCCCAGGGGGCACUCCUGGCUGUGGAGGACUGCCGGCCCGGCCCCCCACACUCCCUCCCCCGGCUCGGGCACGUUACCUGCUGUGCCAAUGAGUUUCUUGGAUUUGUUGAAGAUCUGAUCACCUGGGUUAGGAGGUGGCGCUACGUCCUGGCCCUGCCGCGCCAGCAGAGGGUUGUAAUCCUUUCCAUCAUAGUUUGCGUCAAAGAAUUUCUUAAACCACUGAAUAAACUCAAAAUUAUCUUGGAA